AUUGAACGCUGGCGGCAUGCCUUACACAUGCAAGUCGAACGGCAGCAUGGAAGAGCUUGCUCUUCUGAUGGCGAGUGGCGAACGGGUGAGUAAAGCAUCGGAACGUACCGUGUAGUGGGGGAUAACGUAGCGAAAGUUACGCUAAUACCGCAUACGCACUGAGGUGGAAAGCAGGGGAUCGCAAGACCUUGCGCUAUACGAGCGGCCGAUGUCAGAUUAGCUAGUUGGUAGGGUAAAGGCCUACCAAGGCGACGAUCUGGAGCGGGUCUGAGAGGAGGAUCCGCCACACUGGGACUGAGACACGGCCCAGACUCCUACGGGAGGCAGCAGUGGGGAAUUUUGGACAAUGGGCGAAAGCCUGAUCCAGCCAUGCCGCGUGAGUGAAGAAGGCCUUCGGGUUGUAAAGCUCUUUCGGCUGGGAAGAAAUCGCACAGGCUAAUACUCUGUGUGGAUGACGGUACCAGCACAAGAAGCACCGGCUAACUACGUGCCAGCCGCCGCAGUAA
rnacentral:rRNA from 1 species